CGUAGGUGGCAAGCGUUGUCCGGAUUCAUUGGGCGUAAAGCGCCCGCAGGCGGCUCAGCAAGUUUCAGGUGAAAUCUCCCGGCUCAACUGGGAGGGGUCUUGGAAAACUGCUGGGCUUGAGGCAGGGAGAGGGAUGCGGAAUGUCAGGUGUAGUGGUGAAAUGCGUAGAUAUCUGACGGAACACCAGUGGCGAAGGCGGCAUCCUGGCCCUGUCCUGACGCUCAGGGGCGAAAGCGUGGGGAGCAAACCGGAUUAGAUACCCGGGUAGUCCACGCCGUAAACGAUGAGUACUAGGUGUAGGGGGUAUCGACCCCCUCUGUGCCGAAGCUAACGCGAUAAGUACUACGCCUGGGGACUACGGCCGCAAGGCUA
rnacentral:rRNA from 1 species